rnacentral:lncRNA from 1 species
UAAGCUACAGGUAUGUUAAUUAGUACAGACUCAGCCACGGACUCAAUCGGUCUAACCUUAACACAUGCUUUAAAGGUUCCUGCCACUUGUCUCUUACUGUCAUUGUAGGCUCUGAUAAUGGUAGAACUAGGUUCCAAAUCCUUUUGCUCAAGGCCAUACUUGACUAGAUACUUUAAUGGAGAAAUGUUAACGUUAGAACCAUCAUCAAUCAUCACAUAUCCGCUUUUCA